rfam:Atta colombica isolate Treedump-2 unplaced genomic scaffold scaffold1, whole genome shotgun sequence.
CCUUCGAUAGCUCAGUUGGUAGAGCGGUGGACUGUAGUUGGAAGGAUUACGAGCACAGAUAUCCAUAGGUCGCUGGUUCAAAUCCGGCUCGAAGGA